rnacentral:lncRNA from 1 species
GGGGGAGCUAGGAUGAAAUUUGAAAAAAAAGGCAGGACAGGAUUUUGAGUAAAAAAAAAGGCAGGAUGAGUAACUUGGCAAAAAAAAAAAGGCAGGAUGACAAUUGUUGUAAAAAAGUCAGGAUAAGCUAAGAAAAAAAGAGGCAGGACCGAAUAGACUGAAAAAUAAAAAGGCAGGACAGAGAUUACAACUAAAAAAAAGGCAGGACAAAAAUUUU